rnacentral:lncRNA from 1 species
AGAGCCCUCAAAACCAGGGACAUUGGAGAAGGGUUAUUGAUCUCCCCCAGUCCUUCUGCCAAGACAACAAUUGGGCUUCUUUCCAUGGAGACCAGGGACUCUGAGGAUUUGGGGAAACCCCAGAAGAAAUUAGUGAGUGGCUCAUGGCAGAUUGAUGAGCCAGCCACUGUGAGACCUGAGGUCCUCUCAGAAGAAAGGACGCCCCAUGUUGUCCAGGAGACGCAAGACAAUGCACCUCAUUACUACAUCCCAAUCCAGAGGAACUCCAUCUUCAACCGAACUGUGAGACACAGAAGCAAAAGCAACACUGGAGGCGCUCCUGAGCGGAACACCACCCCCCCAGCAGAUUCACUGGAAAAUGGAAAAUCUGUAAAUGAGACCCUGACCUUGAAUUUCCCCCAGAGCAGAUCGGGUCCCUGGAGAAUACCAACACAGACACACCCACGAGCCAAGAGAACGAGAUUCUCUAAUGGCUGUGGAUCUGAUAUAUUUUGGAAAUACAGUGCUUUCUCUGUGUGACCACAUGCAUUUGUUGAAAUGCUCCUGUUGGUGAAAGACACAUGACAAUCACCCCAAAUCCUCAGGCCUGAUGUGUCCCCAGACCCUUGGUUAGGAGUGUCCCAAAGAAACCCACCUCCCAGGCUCUCCCACAUUUUCUACAGUUUUGGAUGAAUACACAGCAUUAUAGCAUCUUAUCCAUGAGUUAUUUGCGGGAGCCUGUUUUGAGAAAUACAUUUCUCUCUAUCAAGGCCGUAUAACUGUCCACAUUUCGUAGUUGGCAACAGAGCUACCAUUUGUCUGAGUUUUUUUUUAAGGACGCUACCAAGGACAUGUGAACCUUCAACAUGAAAAUUCCAAUAUUUCACUAGCUAAGCAACAUCAUCCAGGCUGCCUCUCACGCCUGGAAGGAGAGCAAAGCUUGGCUGCCUAUUUUGGAUUCUGAAAACGUGUUCAGUGAAGCAACAUCAAAUCUUCAGCAGCAAAGCCCCAAGGCCACAAUGCCUGCUUCCCAGGAUCAUGAAACCUGCCCAACACAAGCCUAUCUCCUUACACCGCACACCUCUUGGUCCCUCUGGGCUUUCCCCUACUUAACCAGAACUCUAACUGCCCAACCUAGCAACAGCAUCAAAGACAAAAGCCAGGAAGUUUCCUUCGAGGCUCAGUGGUGAACCAUCCUGACUAGGAUCCAUGAAGACGAGGGUUCGAUCCCUGGCCUCGCUCAGUGGGUUAAGGAUCCAGCGUUGCCCUGAGCUGUGGUGUAGGUCGCAGAUCCCAAGUUGCCGUGACUGUGGCGUAGGCCAGCAGCUCAGCACCGAUUCGACCCCUAGCCUGGGAACCUCCAUAUGCUGCAGGUGUGGCCCUAAAAAGCAAAACAAACAAACAAAUGAAACAAAACACUCCUCACUUCACCAAAACAGUGAAUCCAGUUUGGGUGGGGUUUUUGACUCCCCAGGGCAGGUCAAUCACCUCCCCCACGCUUGAGCCACCAAGCCCAGAAGGCUGCUAGUUCCCAAAGAGGUCAUUAACCAAAGAAACAUCGUCAUUAACCAAAGAAGGGCAAGAUGCAAUACCAGGAGAGGGCCAAUGCCACACUCAGUAACUGCAGAAGAAAGACUGAAAGCAAGGUUGCAUAAGCAUAACGCCCAUCAACUUCCCCAUAUUCACUUUUUCACUUGCUAUUUCCUGAUGCCACCUGGAUGGGCUGGAUGCUGGGAUGCAGAGAUUAAAGACAUCAGCAGAGCUGUCCACUCCCACUCCCCUACCCCCCGCCCCGUGGCAAGUCUCAGGUCAUUAAGAAGAGACACCAUGCAAGUGGGUGAUAACAGGGCAGAGCUAACAGCUCACGGAGCAAAGGCAGGGCCCUGGGCGCUCCCAGGGGUCACCCAGCUUCCACCCCAGCAGCCCCAGUCCAGGCUGCACAUUAACUCUGUUAACAAAGAAAUACCAGCAAGGUACUGGGGAGUCACUGAAAACAACAGGUGUGUGGAUUUGAGGAAAACUACCCCGGCAGGUGUGAAUGGGGCAGACUGAGGGAGAGAAAAAGACAUCAAGAAAAGGAAGGCUGUAAGAGGCACAGGGUCAGAGUUGAGGCUUGUGAAGGUAGGGGACAGCCCAUAAGACCACCCUCAGCUCAAAAAUGCACGAGAAGGACGCAGAGCUGUUCCUCGCAGUUACGGUUAUUGCAGUGAAAGGCUGCAGUUUUAUUUUAAUGUAUUUUGUGGCCACCCCCGUGGCAUGCAGAAGUUCCCGGGACAGAAUCCAAACCGAGCCACGGCAGUGACAACACUGAGUCCUUAAUCACUAGGCCACUAGGAAACUCCUGAAAGGCUAUGGUUUUAAAUCAGGCAAGAGUAGAGAUACAUAGGAUAAAAUCUGGAAAAGUUCCACUUGGAACUUCCCAGCUUCCCCUGUGGAACUGUGGACAGAGCUAACCUUCCCAGCCAACAAUGGGUGACAAUAUGGCCAACCGGAAAGCCCAUCUGAGCCUGGGCAUCCAGAGCUUUUCCUGGGGCUCCCCCACCUAGACCUAGGUGGCCCCCCAGGUAGCUGACCUCAGUCUGCAGCUUCUCUGGAAGCUGAACUAUCAUCAUACGGCCCAAAGCCUCUACCUUAUCUGACAUGGCCCAGGCCCCCAGGUAAGCAGAGACACUCUUAUCAGACAUGACAUUCCAGUGGCCUAGAGGUCACCUCCUAGGAGCCCAAAAAAGAGGCCAGACCUCUCUUUGGAUAAGAUUAACUCUUUACUAAACAAGAGUUUAAACUGUUGGUCUUUUAAACCUAUUCCCAAACAUGGUUCAAUCCACAUUAACAAAUUAUCCUCAUGAUACAAAGCAAGGAAAGAGGAGUUCCUGCUGUGGCUCAGGGGGUUAAGAACUUGACUAGUAUCCAUGAGGAUUCGGGUUCAAUCCCUGGCCUCGCUCAGUGGGUUAAAGGAUCUGGUGUUGCCACAAGCUGUGGUGUAGAUCGCAGACACAGCUCAGAUCCCAAGUUGCUGUGGCUGCGUCGUAGGCCAGCAGCUACAGCUCCAAUUCGACCCUUAGCCGGGAAACUUCCAUAUGCCAUGGGUGUGGCCCUUAAAAAAUAAAAAAGUAAGGAAAGAGCGUCAACUUCCACCUCAUCAGUAGAAUACUUCCAACCACGCAGCAGCAGAAUCUACUUUUGGAGAGUCUCCUUGGGGGGACCUUUUGAUCCACUGAGUAGGUUCUCUCACAGCUGCAGUGAGAGAGGCCACAUCCUGCCCUUUUCCAACUUUUUUCCCUGGAUUUUGGGGGUCCAUGUAGCCUCAAGCCUAGAGCCUUCUGAGGAUUGAUUGCUGCCUCUCUGGUUUAAAUAUGUUGAUUUUCAAAGCAACUGAAAACAUCUUUUAAGUGACAAAAGUAAACUGUGUUUAUGGAUUUAAAAGGUAGAAUUAAUUAAAAAUUAUCAAGGACCUGUUUUGAAAAGUUUUAAAAUAUGUAUUCGAAGACCAUCUUCUCACUAUGAAGUCAUUUUCCUACUAGAUUUAAGAGUACAGAUGUGGGAGUUCCUGUCAUGGCGCAGUGGUUAACGAAUCCGACGAGGAACCAUGAGGUUGCAGGUUCGAUCCCUGGCCUUGCUCAGUGGGUUAAGGAUCCGGUGUUGCUGUGGCUCUGGUGUAGGCCGGCGGCUACAGCCCUGAUUAGACCCCUAGCCUGGGAACCUCCAUAUGCCGCGGGAGCAGCCCUAGAAAAGGCAAAAAGACGACAAAAAAAAAAAAAGUACAGAUGUGUUUUAACGUCUAGUAGUCUGGCAACAUGCCAUGUGACCCUACGAAUAUUUCGAAUAAGAAAAUAGAAAUUGCAGAUCUUUAUGCUACACGAGGUAGUGUUGAGUUCCUAGCGCAUGCCUGCAGAAUCCACCAUUAGCUGGCUGUGUGAUCUUGAGCUUGUCAUUUUAACCUUCUGGUUCUGCUUCUUUUUCUGUAAAAUAAAAGAGCUGGACCAGAUCAUUUCUAGGUUCCUUCUCCCUCUAGCAAUCCUCCCUCAGAAUAAAAUAAACAUCUUACAAACAUGAAUGAGAACUCCUGAAAGCUGAGGUUACUACAUAAAUAAGAAUCCCCUCUAUUUCCAGUAUUCACCUCUUAUACCCCAAAGGAAGAAACAAGGAACCUUUAGAUAAAAGACAUAAAAUGAUGAAAUAUUUUGCAAGACAUAUCAUUAAUUCCUUAGCAAUCUCCUGUAGAGCAUCAACUAUGGACUACUCAAGGAUACAUAUUUGAAAUAUUUGCUUCUACUUUACGUUGUGAAUGAUUCGGUGCAAGCUACCCGCGAAAUGGAGAUUUUCAUCAUAGCCUGCCUAAGAAGCGCUAAAUAUGAUGGAAAAUAGAACAUGGGGAAUUGAGCUUAAGGUUAUAUGCCUUCAGAACUCAGUGACUUUCUAAACUGAUUUUAUAAUUAGAAGGAUAUUUUUAGCUUAUUUUUCAAUUGGAAGGUUUUAAUAUACUCAUCUGAAGCUCUGU